GACGAACGCUGGCGGCGUGCUUAACACAUGCAAGUCGAACGGAAAGGCCCUGCUUUUGUGGGGUGCUCGAGUGGCGAACGCGUGAGUAACACGUGAGUAACCUGCCCUUGACUUUGGGAUAACUUCAGGAAACUGGGGCUAAUACCGGAUAGGAGCUCCUGCUGCAUGGUGGGGGUUGGAAAGUUUCGGCGGUUGGGGAUGGACUCGCGGCUUAUCAGCUUGUUGGUGGGGUAGUGGCUUACCAAGGCUUUGACGGGUAGCCGGCCUGAGAGGGUGACCGGCCACAUUGGGACUGAGAUACGGCGCAGACGCCUACGGGCGGCAGCAGUGGGGAAUAUUGCACAAUGGGCGGACGCCUGAUGCAGCAACGCCGCGUGCGGGAUGACGGCCUUCGGGUUGUAAACCGCUUUCGCCUGUGACGAAGCGUGAGUGACGGUAAUGGGUCAAGAAGCACCGGCUAACUACGUG
rnacentral:rRNA from 1 species